AUUUUUCCCACGCCACACUCAUGGCGGUUGGGUUGGUGGGAUAUAUAUUUAGAUUUUGUGUUUUUGCAUCCGUUACAAACCCUUGGCUUGUUUUGCCCGUGGAGGUUUUUCAAGGUUUUACGUCUGCGGGGGUUUGGAGCGCUCUGACCGCCUAUAUGUGCGCCGUUGUACCCCCGGACAACCUAGCCACCAUGCAGGGCAUACUCCACGGGGUGUACUGGGGGCUGGGUUCCGGAUGCGGAAGUUUGAUUGGGGGAUUCCUGGUCCAAAAGUUUGGGGCUCCCAUGACGUUUUGGAUAUUUGCCUGUGCAUCAGCGGUUAAUUUAUUUAUAUUUCUUAUAGCACAAAAUUCACCAAAGGCCAUGUUGAUGCCAAUGGAUACGAAGAAAUCAUAUCUUUUAACCGAAAAAAGAGUGGAGAUGAAAUACCCGUGGAUAAGUUACAUUAACACCGUCUGUUUGUGUACAUAUGAUGUAGGAUGUUAUCAAAUAUACCCUAUGCUGCAAUGUCGCUUUUCACUCCAAUAUUCAGUUUAAGAUGUUUUGGUCAGAGAUAUGAGCUUUAAUUUUAGUGUCGGAAAUUUUUAUAUACAGUAUAAUUUUUAUUUAUUAUCAAUUUACCAAAAAAAAACCAUGCUUUUUUCAUAUGACUGUUAAAUUUUGGGAUGUGGUUUCAUUCAUAGCUUUCUACAUUAACUGUAGCAAUCACAUUUCCAUUUAGCAACAAGAAAGCAAAUUCAACAUGAAUGUUGACUGAUAUAUGUACACAAGAUUAAUUUAAUAAAGAUCUGAGAUUUUCGCGUUUCAAAAAUUUUAUUGCAAAAGUGUAAUGUGAGACUUUAUUGACAAAAAAUAUUAUUAUUAUACCUCAAUAUCAUUGUUCUAUAUAACGCAACAUCUGAUUGGUUCUAGACAAUCACGUGACCGGGCGACAAAAUGUGUCUCCCGGGGAAUAAAUAUCAUGUCUCACCUCUUCGG
rnacentral:misc_RNA from 1 species